UUGGUCAAUCUAAAGCAGAUAAUAACACAAAAAAAAACAAAGAAAUUAGCAAAACUACUACAACAUACAAAAUUACAACAAGUCCCAACAACCCACCGUAACGUAAUUUGCUAGAAAAAUGCUUUAGGAUAAACUAAAAAACACAAAUCAAGAUGGAGAGAGGAGUAGAAGAAGAUGGAUGAAAGAAGAUAGAGGAAUGGAUGAAGAUGGAAAAAAUGGAUGAACGGGCAAAAAUGAAAUUUCCCAAGAUAACAGAAAAUCAAACGUUUUUAUGUACAUAAUGGUACGGCAAUUUGAAUUCCAAAAGUACAAUGCUAUUUUGUGAAUUUUUUUUAAAAAUUUGCUAACACUAACCUUUUGUACUAGUUUGUGCUUACCGUGUAGAAUAUCGCAAAAAAUAAAAGAGCAAUGCAUGUUAUUUGUUCAAAACACACCAUUUAUUUUUUUCUUGUCAUUUUAAAAAUUAUGACUGUCUUUUUUUUGUUCGUUGUUACCCUGACUUUAGGCUCGCGUACAUAGACAUUUAUUUUGGGAAUUGAAAUUUCCCGAAGCUUAUUUUGUAAAUUUUUUUAAGAACUUAUUUUUUCAAUUAUUAAAUGCCUAACUAGCCAAUGGCUUAGAUUCGAUAUAUUUGGCUCAGCUUUGGCCUUGGCAAAUUCGUAACUAGCCAACGACUUAGAAAUGGUCCUGUUCCCGCUUCUCUCUUACCUGACAUUAUUCAGUUACAAAGACAUUUGAGAUUCAGAGCAAAUAUUCCUACUAUUUAGACACGACAAAUGACAUACUUUUUUGAAUGUAAUUCAACCUUGGAUACACCUAAUAAGAUUUAGAUUGAAACAACCCUAUCUGAAUUGCUGGUUUAUUUCUCAUCAUACUUUCAUCAUUGCUCAGUUUUUCUCAAUUUUAAUUAAGUUUUUUAGGGUUCUUUUUAAUUUCCGGAUUCAAUUUUGCAUGCCUAUGAUUCAAUUUUUCUUAAUCAUUUUGUUUUAUACUUUAAUCAUUUUGCAUGCCUAUGAUUCAAUUUUUCUUUUCAGGGUUUUUAUUAUACAUAAAUGUAAAAACUUUGACAUGCAUAUACGCUUGAAACAAAGCAAGAUUUUGAUGUGAAGAUUGGUUACAGCUUUCUUAGGCUUUUGCUCAUUCGUCAUAUUUAAGUACAAAUUUUUUUUCUUGGAUGCAGCUAGUGUGAUUGCUUCGUUGCUGGUGUUUAUUGUGCUGAGCCAUGUUCUGGCCAAGAUUGUUUUAACAAGCCAAUUUAUGAAGAUACUGUCACGCAACUCGUAAGUAGAUUGAAUCUUGUAACCCACAAGCAUUUACUCCCAAAGUGAUCAGAACCACAAAUUCAACUCAUGAAGUUGGGGGAAGGAGAGAGAGAAAAAAGUUUGCAAUGUUCUAUUUAUACUUUUAGUUAGGUAACUUAGCUCUGUUUAAACUUGUGAUGUUAUACAUUAGCUGGAAGAUUUAACCCAAACUCUAGCUAUAGCACAUUACGAGCGAGGAUACAACUACACGAAAUCAAAGACUGGAAAAAUAUUGUGAAUGUUUUCAGGUUUUGCACUUCUUCUUACGUAUAUAUAGAUAUAGAUUGAUAUUGUAAUAUUCUCCAAUGAGAUAAUUUUCGAUAUCAAUUUAAAUAUACGUAAGGAAAAUUGCAAAAUCUAAUAACAUUCACAAUAUUUUUUCAAACAAUUUGAUUUCCUGCAGUUGCAUCCUCGCUUGUGAUGUUCUAAAGCUAGAGUUUGGGUUGAAUCUACCAGCUAAUAUUUAACAUUUUAAGUCAUAAACAUGACUAAGUUACCUAGUAAAAGUAUGAAAUAAAAUAUUGCGAAUUUUUCUUUCUUUCCUUAUCCCAAUUGCUUGCGCUGAAUAUGUGGUUCUGAACACUUUGAGAGUAAAUGCUUUUGGGUUACGGAAUUCAAUCUCCUUACAAGUUGCGAGAACAAUAUCUUUAUUAAUUGGCUUGUUAAAACAAUCUUGACAGCAACAUUGCUAAGUACAUCUAACACCGGCAGCGAAGCAAUCACAGUAUUUGCAUCCAGAAUUAGAUUUUUACUUAAUAUGACGAAUAAACAAAAGCUUAAGUAAUCUAUAAUCGCUCUUCUUCUUGCUCUACUUCAAGCAUAUAUAAAUGUCAAAGUUCGUAGAACAUAACAUAAUCAAAAGUAAAAAGAUGUUAUUCAGCAAAUCAUCGUGUAGGACUAAGUGAAGGAAAUGAUGGAAUAGAAUGCAGGAUGUACUUUCGGCCCCUACGGGGUUCAAUUGAUUGUCUAUAAGUUGUUUUUAAGGAAAAACUAAAUAUUUGUUAUAAAUAAAGAGAAAUCAAAUUGUGUGGAUGAUAUUUAAAGAGUAUUAGAGUGUAUAAAUGUAAAUGAAAUAAAAAAAAGCAAAGAGUUUAUUUUCAAAAAUUAUAAAUUGUUAGGGACUAAAAAUAUUUUUAUUGUGAAAUUACAAAUGUACUCCUAGUCUAAGGUCAAGGUAAAAUUCAAACUACCCAAUAUCUAUUAGAUGAAAACCCUAACUAUCCACUUCUUUCGACCAUUCCCACCUAUCUCUACCACUAAGAAAACUGCCUAUUCACUUAAAAACUACCCACUUACUCUCACCUUCCAUCAGAUAAACCCCAAAAACGGUGCAGGAGAUCAUUGAAAUAGCUCCUCUAAUCGACAUGUUAAGUGUUACGCAAUUCUUCUCUACAAAAAUACUCUGUCUAAUUUUUAUUAUCUUGGCCAGGUUUAACUUAUGCAUCAGAGACACUUUCGGAAAAUCAACGUCCGAAUCAGUCUUUCUUUGUGGUUGCAGCUACUGUGAUUGCUUUGCUGCUGGUGAUUACUGUACUGAGUCAUGUUGCUAUCAAGAUUGUUUUAACAGACCAAUUAAUAAGAUAUUAUUCUUGCAACUCGUAAGAAGAUUGAAUCUCGUAACGAAACUCUAGCUUCAAAAAGUCAGCGAGGAUCCAACUGCAAAAUAUCGAGUUGUGUGAAAAAAUAUUGCUGGUGUUGGAUGCUCCAUUAAUUGCAGAUGUGAGGGCCGUAAAAAUGCAUUUGGUCAAAACGAUGGUUCCAUUAUGAUAUCUUCUAAUCUCUCGCUCAACUAGCCGCUUGACCUCAUUUUAUUCGCUCGACUCGGUCGAGCAGAUAUGUCGAAGCUUCUGUGAAGAGCUAUUCAUUUCUCUUUCCUCUUGUUCCAAAGCCUACAAAAGGCUGAUGUAUAUCUUUUGUAUAGAAAAGGAAGAUCAAAUUGAUCAAAUUGAUCAAAUCAAUUGGAAAUUAAGAGUGUGAGUGCCACAAUAAACUUAGGAUUUCUAGUGAUAGGUUUAAGGGAUUUUUCCAUUUUUUUCAUGGAAUCAUUUGGGUAAGAUCCAUUAAAUUGUUAUAGGUAGGGUGUUAUAGGUUAAUAUCAUAUUGAUAUUAGGAUUUUGUUUUUAAUCUUUAUAGUCGAAAAUACAUCUUGCUAUCUAUUCCAUCAUUUCCAUCACUCGACUUCACAUGAUGCUUUGCUGAAUAACACUUGUUACUUUUGAAUGUUAGGAAUAAAUAAAAUGGACUAUAUUUAAUAAAGCUUAAUUAUAAGCUUAUUAAGCUAAUUGUG